UACGUAGGUGGCAAGCGUUGUCCGGAUUUAUUGGGUUUAAAGGGUGCGUAGGUGGUCUAUUAAGUCAGUGCUGAAAUAUCCCGGCUUAACCGGGAGGGUGGCAUUGAUACUGAUGGACUUGAGUGGAGUUGAGGUAGGCGGAAUUGACGGUGUAGCGGUGAAAUGCUUAGAUAUCGUCAAGAACACCGAUAGUGAAGACAGCUUACCAAGCUUCAACUGACGCUGAGGCACGAAAGUGUGGGGAUCAAACAGG
rnacentral:rRNA from 1 species